GAUCCUCUCUGUUGUGAUUCAUCCCCCCGGGGCCCUACAGUUUCUCCUUCCUGACUCUUACAUUUCUUUGGAUGGCAUCAUUAUUAGACGGGGUUUCACCAUGUUGGCCAGGCUGGUCUUGAACCCUGGACCUUGUGAUCCACCCGCCUCGGCCUCCAAAAGUGCUAGGAUUACAGGCAUGAGCCACCGUGCCUGGCCCAGAGAGUCUUAAAUACCUGUCUCCUCCCAUAGUUAGGUGCCAAGCACUGUGGAUUCUGCCUCUCAGUGUCCAGACACCCAUUUUCCUUCCCACUGUUCCUUCCCCAUGGAGAAGCCUGUGGCUGGCUGACAGCAGAGAGAGAUGCUCAACUUGGAGAAGGUGUUACCUGGGCCAGGUGGGGAAGGUUUGUUUGCAGAGCAAAGAAGUGAAGCCUAUUCAACGUGAAAAAGAUGAGGAUGAAGACCUUUAUUAUGAUCCACUUCCAAGUAAUGAACACACUGGAGAAAGUCAGACAGUCAAAACAAUGUCCCAGACUCCGUGAAGUUCCUGGGUAGAGAAGGAGACAGACAUAUACCAUACCUAAUAAUUGGAUGUCCGAGAGAAUGAGAGAAUGGCAGAAAGAACUUUAGAGCAUGGGUAUGAUGGCUAGAGCUUGAGCAGCCAUUGUGGACAUCAGAUGAACUUGAAAGUGAAAACUAUGAGCUGAAUACGACAAAGC
rnacentral:lncRNA from 10 species